CUCCUGUUAUACACAUGACAGAAAAAUGAAAGAGCUUCGGCCCAAAAGGGAUUGGGCAGCCCCGAAUCAUGUAACAGUGUUCUGAUUCCUUGCUGCAGGGUCUGGUUUAUUCUCUCACAUAAACCAUUCUGCCAGGGUGAUCUGGGCGUGGCAGUCCUAUGCUCAAUGCCCUGUUCAGAAAGAAAAGCCUCAAACUCCUCUGAACAAAACUCACCACCCUUGUCAGUGAAAAGACAACGUACGUUCUCAUUAUGUACAUUCUGAGCCAUUUACAAAACUGGCGAAACUUGGUAAAGGCUUCAGACUUUUUCUGCAACAUAUAGACCCAUACAUAUCUCGAAUAGGCAUCUAUCAGAACCAUAAAAAACCUCAAAUUGCCUCUAGAGAGCGCUAGAGGCCCCACUAAGUCUGCAUGAAUGACUUCGUAUGGUUUCUUGGCCUCUCUCCCAGACUCUGUACCUUUGGGAGCUUGCCUUGCCUUACUCUCAGCACAAGAAACACAUUUCAUGUGGUAGGGACAUUCUUUCAACUUCAUACCCUGAACCAUAUCAGGCAUUUUUGCCACAGCCUGGAAAUUCAAAUGACCAUAAACACGGUGGUAAUAAUGAAUACAUUGGUCAUGCAACUUCUCAUUCUUAUCAACAGAUAAAUUGCAACACUCUUUCUCAGUUGCUUCUGCAGUACCUGUACCUGAAACAAAAGGCAAUUGGUACAGACCAUUUACACAUUUUGCAUACAGAAUGAGCUUGCCAUCUCGACGAAUUUCACAGCGAGAUUUAGCAAACACCACCUUAAACCCUUGACGAUCAAGCUGGGAAACACUCAACAAAUUGUCCUGAAUAUCAGGCGCAUACAGGACAUUCUUAAUUGUUGCAUUCAGGCUCUUUAAAAACACAGUUCCCUGAGCCAAACUCGUGAGGACAGUCCCAUCUGCUUGAUGAAUUUCUUUCUCUUGCUUCUCAAGAUGAACAAAGAGAUCCUUAUCUUUGGCCACGUGGUUUGAACAGCCAGAGUCGACCACGAAGAAACUCCACCCACGUUGAUUGGAGCAGCGAGAGAUCAAAGCCUUUGAAGUAGCAGGUGCUUGGGGAUUUCGUCCUCCUCCCCCCUCUGCCUCUGAAGUUUCCCUUCUUCUUUGAAGAUUUCUUGCUGCACUGAAAACUCAAAUGGCCUUGUGCUCUACACGAAAAGCACUGCUUCAACUUUAGUGCUUUAACAGCAGCAGUUUCACUUUCACUUUCCCCUGCUGGAGACUUAGGCACAUUUUCAAGCACAUUUUUAACAGCACCAUUUUCCUGGCUUUCUCUAACAGCCUGUCUGAGAUCCCACUCAUUCAAGAGCAUGCUAGACACAUAAUCUUCCGUUAGCCGGUCAGAAGGCAUUGUAGAAAACUGGGCAGCUACUCCAUCAUAAGAAUCAUCUAGGCUAUUUAUCAUCAGCAUUGCAAACACAGCCUCUGAAAUAGCCAGGUCUCGCUGAACAAGGUCCUGUCUGAGACGCUUUAACUGAGAUAGAUGGCUAGGCAAAUCACCACCUUUCUCCAACUGCAGCCUGCACAGCUUCUUGAAGAAAAUCACACUGGAACCAGCAUUCUGCCUCAAAUGCAUAUCUCUCAACUUAUGCCAAACAGCUCGUGCAGUCUCUUGACCCUCUAAGUUCACCAACAAGUGGUCUGAAACACUCAAAAACAAUUGUCCCUCGGGCUCUCAUAUCUGCAGCAUGCCACUCAGGCCAUUCAUCAUCAUCCUUAUUGGGAGGGUCGUCUUCUAUAGUGUGAAAUAGCUUUUCCCUCUGUAAAAGCGCUUUCAUCUUGACCUGCCAAACUGCAUAGGUCUCAGGCGUGAGGAGAGGAAAGGACAGAGCCAUCUGGCCAGAAUGUGCACAGGCCAUGUCUGCUAUUACUUAGAGCAAGACACUUCCCUCGUGCAACACAGAUAAAGCCUUGACUCCUUCAGCCACUCUCUCUCCCACUCAGAGCGCAAUUAACAGGCAAACAGGGAUGCUAUCUUCUUUCUUUGGCAGUCAGCAACAUACCUCCAUAAAUCAAGCAGCAGCAACAGCAACAGCGGCAGCUUGAACACUCUGCUCCAAAACAGCUCUGCUUCUGGGCACCACAAAUCAGUCCAGCAUGCAGCGUCCGUUCCGCCGUCCGGCAAUCAGCAACAGAAACCUCUGGCGACUGGGACGAGUGGGACGACUGGUACAACUGGAACAACGACUGGUCAGGUGACUGGGACAACGACUGGGCCCAUAACCGAUGUCAGCAUCGCCCUUGAGUCAGUGCCACCAACUGGACUCAUCCACUUCAGCCCCGACUGGGCUAGGCGAGCUGGGUAGCACUUCCAGAGACCACCUUCUGCACAGGAACAGGUCAAAGUGCUGUGGACUCACAGCUUAGAGUUGUGAGCACCGGAUUCACUUCCACAAGAAGACAGUCGUCGCACAGCAGAGUACAGCAGACUCUAGCAGAGUAUAUAAACAACUUGGAGAGCAGCUCUGUAGAAUAUCUUCUUUAUUCUAUCUACAACUAUUAUACAACUAUAUACAGAGCUAAAUAGGUCUAAGCAUAAAUGAAUGCUGCACUGCACUGAGUGUCUGCAGCUGCUCUUAGCAGCAACCUUAUCUCUACACACGAUCUCUAACACUCAGUCUCUCUCUCUCUCUCCGACACUGACUGACUGACUGACUUGGUGCUGGAGCAGAAUAAGUAGAGAGCAGAACACGCCUCCUCCUCUCUGGAGAAUCAGCAGACUCCUCAGGAGAUUCUUGGAUAUGGGAGGGGUGAAAUCUCCUCAGAAGGAACUGUGAUCAUGCAAGUAAGCAAGUUCAUGUCGACUGUGGAAAAAUUCUUAUACAACCACACCAAGCAAGAACGGAAUCCUAAACAGUGGACAGGGAUGGCAUU